GCUGUGGUGGCUUAGUGGACUGAGCAUCAUCCCAUGGACCAAGAGGUCCUGGGUUCAAUUCCCAGUCAGGGCA
rnacentral:tRNA from 1 species